rnacentral:rRNA from 1 species
UUCGGAUUGUAGUCUGCAACCCGACUACAUGAAGCUGGAAUCGCUAGUAAUCGCGAAUCAGAAUGUCGCGGUGAAUACGUUCCCGGGUCUUGUACACACCGCCCGUCACACCAUGGGAGUCGGAAAUGCCCGAAGUCAGUGACCUAACCGAAAGGGAGGAGCUGCCGAAGGUGGAGCCGGUAACUGGGGUGAAGUCGUAACAAGGUAGC